GUGCUUGCUUUGGCAGCACAUAUACUAAAAUUGGAACUAUAGAGAGAAAGAUUAGCAUGGCCCCUAAACAAGAAUGGCAUGCAAAUUUGUGAAGCAUUCCAUAUUUUU
ensembl:snRNA U6 U6 spliceosomal RNA